rnacentral:rRNA from 1 species
CUCAGAAUCAACGCUGGCGGCGCGCUUAACACAUGCAAGUCGCACGAGAAAGUGGAGCAAUCCAUGAGUACAGUGGCGUACGGGUGAGUAACACGUGGAUCAUCUACCUUCUAGUGGGGAAUACCCCUGGGAAACUGGGGACAAUACCGCAUAAGCUCGUAAGAGGAAAGCAGCAAUGCGCUGGAAGAGGAGUCCGCGGCUGAUUAGCUAGUUGGCGGGGUAAUGGCCCACCAAGGCGAAGAUCGGUAGCCGGCCUGAGAGGGCACACGGCCACACUGGCACUGAAACACGGGCCAGACUCCUACGGGAGGCAGCAGUGGGGAAUCUUGCACAAUGGAGGAAACUCUGAUGCAGCGACGCCGCGUGAGCGAUGAAGCCCUUCGGGGUGUAAAGCUCUUUCGACGGGAACGAUAAUGACGGUACCCGAAGAAGAAGCUGCGGCUAACUACGUGCCAGCAGCCGCGGUAAUACGUAGGCAGCAAGCGUUGUUCGGAAUUACUGGGCGUAAAGAGUGUGUAGGCGGUGUUCUAAGUUUGUCGUGAAAUCUCCCGGCUUAACUGGGAGGGUGCGGCGAAAACUGGAAUGCUAGAGGAUGGGAGAGGUAAGCGGAAUUCCUGGUGUAGCGGUGAAAUGCGUAGAUAUCAGGAGGAACACCUGUGGUGUAGACAGCUUACUGGACCAUUUCUGACGCUGAGACACGAAAGCGUGGGUAGCAAACAGGAUUAGAUACCCUGGUAGUCCACGCCCUAAACGAUGCAUACUUGGUGUGAGCGAUUCAUUUCGUUCGUGCCGGAGCUAACGCGUUAAGUAUGCCGCCUGGGGAGUACGGUCGCAAGGCUGAAAACUCAAUG